rnacentral:rRNA from 1 species
AACGAACGCUGGCGGCAUGCCUAAUACAUGCAAGUCGAACGAAGGCUUCGGCCUUAGUGGCGCACGGGUGCGUAACGCGUGGGAAUCUACCCUUGGGUUCGGAAUAACUCGCCGAAAGGCGUGCUAAUACCGGAUGAUGACGUAAGUCCAAAGAUUUAUCGCCCAGGGAUGAGCCCGCGUAGGAUUAGCUUGUUGGUGAGGUAAAAGCUCACCAAGGCGACGAUCCUUAGCUGGUCUGAGAGGAUGAUCAGCCACACUGGGACUGAGACACGGCCCAGACUCCUACGGGAGGCAGCAGUAGGGAAUAUUGGACAAUGGGGGAAACCCUGAUCCAGCAAUGCCGCGUGAGUGAUGAAGGCCUUAGGGUUGUAAAGCUCUUUUACCCGAGAUGAUAAUGACAGUAUCGGGAGAAUAAGCUCCGGCUAACUCCGUGCCAGCAGCCGCGGUAAAGUCUGUACU